rnacentral:rRNA from 1 species
CCUACGGGAGGCAGCAGUUAGGAAAUUUUCACAAUGGGGGAAACCCUGAUGGAGUAACGCCGCGUGAAGGAUGACGGCCUUCGGGUUGUAAACUUCUUUUCUGGGGGAAGAGUAGACGACGGUACCCCAGGAAUAAGCCUCGGCUAACUACGUGCCAGCAGCCGCGGUAAU